UACGUAGGCAGCAAGCGUUGUUCGGAGUUACUGGGCGUAAAGGGUGCGUAGGCGGCGGGGUAAGUUUGAUGUGAAAUCCCGGGGCUCAACCCUGGAAUUGCAUUGAAUACUACCUUGCUAGAGUACCGGAGAGGAAACUGGAAUUUACGGUGUAGCAGUGAAAUGCGUAGAGAUCGUAAGGAAGACCAGUGGCGAAGGCGAGUUUCUGGACGGUAACUGACGCUGAGGCACGAAGGCCAGGGGAGCAAACGGG
rnacentral:rRNA from 1 species